rnacentral:rRNA from 1 species
UACGUAGGCAGCGAGCGUUGUUCGGAGUUACUGGGCGUAAAGGGUGCGCAGGCGGUGGCCCGCGUGGGCGGUGAAAGCUCCUGGCUCAACUGGGAGAGGGCCGUCCAGACGGGGUCACUUGAGGGGCGGAGAGGGGCGUGGAAUUCCGGGUGGAGCGGUGAAAUGCGUAGAGAUCCGGAGGAACACCGGUGGCGAAGGCGGCCUUCUGGACAGUGACUGACGCUGAGACGCGAAAGCGUGGGGAGCAAACAGG